GCUGUGGAGGGCGGGGGAGGAAGGGCGGGAGGGUCAGGACAGAGUGGGAGAGACGGAGCCUCGGUGGACUGCAAGGAGCGGGACCUGCGGGGAGUCGAGAAAUCAAAUAAAACGGGGCGGACCUUAACAAAUUAGGAGGAUUUGGUGGGCAAGGCCUUGAGAGGCGUGACCGUUGGGGCCUGGUCUCGGCUGCGAGUAGCACUGCUUUGAGUGGGCGGGGCCACCAUGGGGCGGAGCCUGACGUGGACAGAUUAGUUCUCUCCCUUCUGCCCAUUAGCAUGGGGCACCGCACUCUAGCCUCCGUCCCGGCCCUGUGGGCCUCCAUCCCCUGUCCGCGCUCUGAGCUGCGCCUGGACCUGGUUCUGGCUUCUGGACAGUCCUUCCGGUGGAGGGAGCAAAGCCCUGCACACUGGAGCGGCGUGCUGGCCGACCAGGUAUGGACACUGACCCAGACUGAGGAACAUCUUUACUGCACUGUGUACCGAGAGGAUAAGGGCCGGGUUGGCAGGCCCACGCUGGAAGAGCUAAAGGCCGUGCGACAGUACUUCCAGCUGGAUGUCAGCCUUGCUCAGCUGUAUCAACACUGGAGUUCUGUGGACCCGCACUUUCAAGAGGUGGCUCAGAAAUUCCAAGGUGUGCGACUCCUGCAACAGGACCCCACUGAGUGCCUUUUCUCCUUCAUCUGUUCCUCCAACAACAACAUCGCCCGCAUCACUAGCAUGGUGGAGCGGCUCUGCCAGACCUUCGGACCUCGGCUCAUCCAGCUUGAUGAUGUCACCUACCAUGGUUUCCCCAGCUUGCAGGCCCUGGCUGGGCCAGCGGUGGAGGCUCAGCUCAGGAAGCUGGGCCUGGGGUACCGUGCCCGCUACGUGAGUGCCAGCGCCCGAGCCAUCCUGGAAGAAUGGGGCGGACUUCCCUGGUUGCAGCAGCUGCGCAAGGCCCCCUAUGAGGAGGCCCACAAGGCCCUCUGUACCCUGCCUGGGGUAGGCACCAAGGUGGCCGACUGCAUCUGCUUGAUGGCCCUAGACAAGCCUCAGGCUGUGCCUGUGGACGUCCAUGUGUGGCAGAUCGCCCAACGUGACUACAGCUGGCACCCCACCACCACUCAGGCCAAGGGUCCGAGCCCCCAGGCCAACAAGGAACUGGAGCCUUCCUGGCGAUGCAUUUGAUGGCCACCAGCUUCUGAGUCCUCUUAUCUUCCGCCAGGAUUACCUCCGAGAAGGCCCCUCUGCAGGGAGAGGGGAUUCAUGAGGAACCCAGAGCUGUGGCAAGAGCAGCCUCUGUUCCACCCACUGUCAGCCAGAAGUGAAAAGCCUGGGCCAGUCAGGCCAUACAAGGCUACCAUGGGGCCAGGGCUGUAGGAAACAGGAAGCGGUGAUCAACUGGCCAGAGGAAGCACCACCCUGGACUCGGCCUCCCCAGCCAGUCAGGCCCAGGAGGGCCCCGUUUCGCAGAAGGAACAACUGAGGCACAGAGAGAUGAAGGGUUCAGAAUCAGCGGUUGGUCAGAAGCAGAGUCGAAUUCGAACCCAAGUCUGUCUGAUGCCGGAAGCUGGCCAUUUUCACCGCCUCUUGGGGUUUCUUUCAGACCAGUUCCAUGAGCUCCCUUAGAGUUGGGCUCUGUUCCCUCCUCCCCACCCCCCACACCUCCACCCCCGGGAACUAAGCCCUGGGAAGGGCUCACGAGAUUGGUGGGGGUGGAGGGAUGGGGCUAUAGGGAAAGGACAAGGCAAGAGUAGGCAAUAAAGAGAACUGAGGCAGUCGUAGGGUAGGGGCCCCAUUUGACCGGCGGGAAAGCUAAGGCCCGAGGUCCCUCUCCGAGGCAGAGCUGAUGCUCUCAUUCCCUACACCUGCCGAGCAGAACAGGUGUGGUGCCCAGAGGGCCUAGGGCGGGGAAGGAAGAGAGAGGAGGGAGAGUUAAAUCAGGAUCCUUGAGGGAAGUCGGCCAAAGAGGACCACGUGACUGGGCAGACGCCAGGGGCCGGUGGCUCCGGGCCAGGUUGAGGAGGGGAAGCCGGAAACCGCUCGGGGGCAACAGGCAGGGGACUGAGGGACCUGCCUGACGUCCUCUUGCGCAAGGCCUUGCUUGGGAAGAUGGAGGGGGAGCAACUCCCAGGAAGUAAGGGUGGGGACUGGACUGGAGCCACCCAGAGGAGGCUCGUGGCUGAGGACUCCCACUCCACCUCCAUCACCACCCAGUGCAGCCCCCCACUCCUGAAUUCCUGCAUUUUCCAGCUGAAGAUGGGGAGAGUACAGUGUUUACUCCCAACUCAAUUUCUACUGGCUUUUCCCUCUCUUAUCCCACUGUGUCGGAGGGUGAUCAGUUUAUUAUGCCCAUUUUACAGUGAGCCAGGAAGAUGGCUGAGGUUCCUAGAAAGGCUUUUGAGACUGACUUAGAAUCUGAGUCAUACUUUGCCUCGCUGAGUCAGUUUCUUCAUCUGGAAUAUGGGAAUAUUGAUGUCUGACUCAGAAUUCUCCUGAGAAUUGAGAUGAUGGAUGUGGAGUACCUGGACUACCAUUGGGGUUAAAAAUAUGUCAGUUAGGGCUUCCCUGGUGGCACAGUGGUUAAGAAUCCGCCUGCCAAAGCAGGGGACAGAGGUUUGAGCCCUGGUCCGGGAAGAUCCCACAUGCUGCGGAGCAACGAAGCCUGUGUGACGCAACUACUGAGUCUGCGUACUAGAACCCGCGAGCCACAACUACUGAGCCCGUGUGCCACAACUACUGAAGCCCACACACAUAGAGACUGUGCUCUGCAACAAGAGAAGCCACUGCAAUGAGAAGCCCGCACACCUCAAUGAAGAGCAGCCCCGCUCGCCACAACUAGGGAAGCCCUGUGUGCAGCAACGAAGAUCCAACGCAGCCAAAAAUAAAUGUUUUAAAAAGUACAUAACAGCUAGAAUUUACUUUUACUUUAGUGUAAACUGAGGCUCAGAGAAGGGACCUGAUUUGUCUGGGGAUAGAGGGCUAAGGGCCAAUUUCCCUCCCCCAAAUCUCCUUGCCACUGGUUAGAUUCUUUCACUUGUCAAGUAAUAGAAUCCCAAACUAGGCCACCUUCACCAAAGAGGAACCCUCAAUAGCUGAGGCAAGACUGAAGGAAGAACACCAUGGAUCACGGUCUGAGACUGGAACUGGAGACACACUACUCACAGGAUUUGCUUUCUCUCAUCUCUCCUUGUCUUGAUUUUUCUUUACACUUCAGCUUCCUUUCCUCUACAGAGUGAUCUCCUCUAUCUGGCAGGAAGCAUGGUGUGAAGCAACCCCACCUUUCCAACUGAACCCAGCAAAAGAGGAGCUAUACCCAGUUUCGUGUAUCAGUCUCAGAGAAGGACUCUGAUGGGCUCUGCUGGAGUGACGUGCCUACGCCUUUACCCUCUAAACUGUUGCCCGAGGAAUAAGGUACUAUACAGGGACACGAUGGAUGGGAGUGAACAGAAGAUGAAUGACACUACACUAAAACACUGGCCAAUUCCUGGUGAGGGGCGGAUGAUAAUCACAGCUGCCCAGCAAAAUGUUAACAGCUGACAAACCGAGGUGGAGAGUCUACAGGUGUUCACUGUACUGUUCCAUCAGGUUUUCUGUGUGUAUGAAAAUCUGAGCUCUAGUCUGUGAAAUUAGAAGCUGUCUGAGACGUAACCACUAGGGUGGUGCCCGACACUGACAUUUUUUUCAAAGCCCUCCAGAUGAUUCAGAGGCCCUGCCAGGUCUGGAAAGCCUGUCGUAAAGCUCCCGCAAGGUGACCAGCGUGACCAAGGCCUCGCCAGCCAGCCUUUGGCCCGGGCGUCCUGUCCACACUCACCUCAGC